rnacentral:rRNA from 1 species
AGCGAACGCUGGCGGCAGGCCUAACACAUGCAAGUCGAACGAACUCUUCGGAGUUAGUGGCGGACGGGUGAGUAACACGUGGGAACGUGCCUUUAGGUUCGGAAUAACUCAGGGAAACUUGUGCUAAUACCGAAUGUGCCCUUCGGGGGAAAGAUUUAUCGCCUUUAGAGCGGCCCGCGUCUGAUUAGCUAGUUGGUGAGGUAAAGGCUCACCAAGGCGACGAUCAGUAGCUGGUCUGAGAGGAUGAUCAGCCACAUUGGGACUGAGACACGGCCCAAACUCCUACGGGAGGCAGCAGGGGGGAAUCUUGCGCAAUGGGCGAAAGCCUGACGCAGCCAUGCCGCGUGAAUGAUGAAGGUCGUAGGAUUGUAAAAUUCUUUCACCGGGGACGAUAAUGACGGUACCCGGAGAAGAAGCCCCGGCUAACUUCGUG